rnacentral:tRNA from 1 species
UCCCUAGUAGCUCAGAUGGUAAAGCAUCUGCCUGCAAUGCAGGAAACCUGGGUUCAAUCCCUGGGUCAGGAA